GAUGAACGCUGGCGGCGUGCCUAAUACAUGCAAGUCGAGCGAACAGACGAGGAGCUUGCUCCUCUGACGUUAGCGGCGGACGGGUGAGUAACACGUGGAUAACCUACCUAUAAGACUGGGAUAACUUCGGGGAACCGGAGCUAAUACCGGAUAAUAUAUUGAACCGCAUGGUUCAAUAGUGAAAGACGGUUUUGCUGUCACUUAUAGAUGGAUCCGCGCCGCAUUAGCUAGUUGGUAAGGUAACGGCUUACCAAGGCGACGAUGCGUAGCCGACCUGAGAGGGGGAACGGCCAACACGGGAAUGGGACAAGGUGCAGAACCCUUAGGGGGGGAGGAGGUGGGAAUCUUCCGGAAUUGGGGGAAAGCUUGAGGGAGAAACGCGGGGGGGGUAAGGAAGGUCUCCGGAUCGAAAAACUCUGUUAUUAGGGAAAAACAAAUGUGUAGGAAACUAUGCACGUCUGACGGUAACUUAAUAAGAAGCCCAGGCUAACUUAGGG
rnacentral:rRNA from 1 species